AUAAAUCUUUCGCUUCUCCCUGUGCAAAUCUCAGAGGCGCUUACCAUAAUUGCUUCACGAGGUCCUCUCUCUCUUCUCGCUCUAAAAUCUAUCUCAAAAAGUUAUAAUGGGUAUCGUUUUUGUCCGCAGGUUGUACCCGGAGAAGGUUGUGGUUUUUUUUUUGGAUUUCAGAUUUCUCUUUGUUAUCAAAUCGCUUAUGUAUUUUCUUGGUAUUAGGAUCUAAGAUUUUUGGUUUUUAAAGAGCAGCAGGCGAAGUUGGGGUACGUUUUCUUCUUUCUGUAUUUUUUUUGUUUAAUUUCUAAUUUUUAUUUCAUGCAUGGUGGACUUCUCUUUUGUAAUUAUUAAAUUGCUUCUAUAUUGGUUUGCUAUUUAAGAUCUGAUUUAUUUUAUUUUAUUUUUUGUUUUUUGCAUUUCAAGAGCAGCGGCAGGAUAUACCUUUUCUAUUUUUCUAUUUUUUUUUUUAAUUUCUAACUUUUAUGCAAGAUAUGAAAAUAUUGUAUGAAUCUCAUUCUCAUGUACGAUUAUCACCAAACGUAUAUAUUUUUCGUGGAAUUCUUGAGAAAAUCCAAGCUGAAUUCCAUUUUGUUUGGAAGAAAUUUAAUACCAGAAAGCUUGGCUCUCGUUCUGAUUUGAAGAAAUUUUAAUUUUUUUUCUUGGAUUAAACUACUCUAGAUUAAUUGUAGUUUGUGGGUUCAAUUAGGAACUUAGAUCUACUGAAUUAACUGUUUUUAGGGUCUGUUUUUCAGAAUAUUGAAUCAGUUUAUUUGUUAUUUACGUUAUUCCAUUGGGGUGUGCUAUCUACGCACCCCAUUUUACUUCUCACACACCCUUUGAUGAUUUAUGUCCAUUGAUUUUCUUCAAUUCAUCCGAUCUGACGGCCGAAAAUUAAAAAGGUGUAUGAGAAGUAAAAUGGGGUGUGGAUAUCAUACCCCUAUUCCAUUUCCAACUUUAGAAGGUGAUCUCAGUUCACCUGUUGUGAUUGAUCACAGUCGGUGAUUUAAUGAUUUCAUGUUUUUUAAAUUGUGUUACAUCUUAAUUUAAUGGUGAUUACAGGAGGAUACGUGUAGAUGUAGCAAUUGUUUUGUAAGCGCCAAAAACUGUGCAUGGGCCAGGGUUAGCAGUUGCUAUUUCAUCCCAUAGAUGGCGACGCUAUUCUUAUUGAGUAAUCUUCGAAGAAAGUUACCUCUUCAGAGAAGUACUCUGGCAGCAUUCGUUAAGCACUCUCCCUUUACUUUUCUUACAAGGAUUGCAACCUGGUUUGGAUCAGUACUGAUCAGUUUGUGGUCAUUGUUUUGGCAUUCAAUACAAGAGAAAUAUAAAGUCCUUGUCUUCAAGGCAUAGAAAAGACUUCAAUAUGGACUCAACUCCUCCAUAAGAACGAUCUUUUGAUAAGGAGGCAGUUUACUUGUGGCGCAAGCAAAUGACCUAUAUGACACUUAAAACAAUAUGUUGCUCUUGGCUAGUAGUGGCAUGCCUAAAAUUAAUUAAUUUGGUAAGAGAGCCUAAGAGCCUACGCAAGGCUUUGUAGGCACCUUCAAAUUGCUCACUUACGCAGGGAGAGUUGUGUGGGGA
rnacentral:lncRNA from 1 species